rnacentral:tRNA from 1 species
GCCCGCCUAGCUCAAUCGGAUAGAGCGUUAGACUCUUAUUAAUUUGUGCUGCAUCGUUAUCUGAAGGCUGCGAGUUCGACCCUCGCGGUGGGCU